rnacentral:rRNA from 1 species
UCUGCUUUACUCUAUCGGUAAAAAGGUACGCCGGGGAUAACAGGUCGUAGAAUUGAAGGAGUUCUAAUCCUUUUAUUCUAUUAACACCUCCAUGUCGGCUCAUCACACCCU